GAUGAACGCUGGCGGCGUGCCUAACACAUGCAAGUCGAGCGUGAACCCUGCGAAUGAAACUUCGGUCGAUUUUGCAGGGGGAAAGCGGCGGACGGGUGAGUAACGCGUAGGUAACCUGCCCCAUACUGAGGGAUAGCCUCGGGAAACCGGGAUUAAUACCUCAUAACACCGUAUAUUCGCAUGGAUGUGCGGUCAAAGAUUUAUCGGUAUGGGAUGGGCCUGCGUCUGAUUAGCUGGUUGGUGGGGUAACGGCCUACCAAGGCGACGAUCAGUAGCCGACCUGAGAGGGUGAUCGGCCACAUUGGAACUGAGACACGGUCCAAACUCCUACGGGAGGCAGCAGUGGGGAAUAUUGCACAAUGGGCGAAAGCCUGAUGCAGCAACGCCGCGUGAGCGAAGAAGGCCUUUGGGUCGUAAAGCUCUGUCGGGUAGGAAGAUAAGACGGUACUACCGAGGAAGCCCCGGCUAACUACGUGCCAGCAGCCGCGGUAAAAUCACGUGUAC
rnacentral:rRNA from 1 species